UGAAAGCUAGUGAUUUGUCACAAAUGAAUUUGAAUCAUUAAAUGGAACUAAAAGACUCCGUUUUCAA
rnacentral:tRNA from 1 species